GCCCUUAUAGCUCAGUGGUAGAGCGUUGCACUUGUAGCGCUGCUUAGUCAGCUUGCUUAUGUAAUGCAAAGGCCUGUCGUUCAAAUCGGCAUGGGGGCA